rnacentral:lncRNA from 1 species
CGCCCCCCCGCCACGCGCCACGCGCCACGCGCCACGCGCCGGCCGUCUACACGCCGGCUGCCCGUUGCCCUGGCAACCGUCGCGCAGCGUCUUCCUGAGGGAGCUCCUGUCAGCCGGAGGAUCCCGUCGCCCGCUCCCCACUGCCCCGCAAUUUUCGCGUGGGCUCAGAGGCGGAACGACAACAAAAAAUGGCGGAGCGGAGCCAGACGGCGCCUGAGGCAGGCAGUGAUAUGGGAAAUGAUGAUGCCAUCGGAGGGAAUGUGAGCAAAUAUGUGGUGCUUCCAACUGGAUACUGUGGACAGCCCAAGAAAGGACAUCUUAUCUUUGAUGCUUGCUUUGAAAGUGGUAACCUUGGACGGGUGGACCAGGUCUCUGAGUUUGAGUAUGAUUUAUUUAUUAGGCCGGACACCUGUAAUCCUCGCUUCCGAGUCUGGUUCAACUUUACUGUUGAAAAUGUGAAAGAAUCACAGCCUGCGUGAGAAAGAAAAGAAUGAGACUGAAAAUUUGAUGUCGACUGAAAAUUCAGCUUUUAAGUAUCAUAUGUUGUGGCUAUGUUACUAUUGCCUGGAGGGAUGUCCAUUUCCUGAUAAUAUAUAUACAUAUAUAUAUUUAUAUUUGCCUCAACCUCUAAAGAGUUUUAGAAUUAAUAUUAUUUUCCCCUCUUUGGGUAUGUUUUCCUUUGAGAGUGGAAUUUGGGUCUUGGCACUGGUAUAUUAGAUCAAUGCUCUUACUGUCCUUGAUUUAGUCUAGUGUUUCUUCACAGUUCACAUUGCCCUUCAUGCGGAGCCAAGCUGGUAAUACACCCUUGAGGUAAUGUGAAAAUGCUUUCACUAGCUCAGUUCCCUUCCCCGCCAGCAUGCCUGGGUCACCUUCACAACAUCAAGAUUAGGUGUACAUGCAUUGUAAUAAAUAAUGCCUUGUGUAGGAGCAAUGUGACUGGAAUCUGUUGAAAUAUGGCCUAUUAUAUUACAAUUUAUGUUUCGAUUAUCAGUUUUAUUAUAUGAAACAAGCUUGAGCUUUAUAAAGUCAUCCAGAAAAGAGAUCUGCAUCACUGAUGGGACUGGCUGUCUACUUGGCUUCUGUGCCUAGCAGAGUGAGAAUCAUAUGUACAUUUCUAAGGCUAUUAUUUUUUCUGUAUCCACUUUGAAGAUCCAGAUUGGAUUACUUAGCAAAUUAUUCUUUGAAAUACCUCUAAUGGUGUUAUAUGAAAGUCCUAGACAUAGCACUUCUUCAUCCCCAUGUCAGAAGGAUCUUCAUGAAAUGCAAAUCUAAUCACAUAUCCCUUUAUGCCUUACCUCCUAUAAUGAC